rnacentral:rRNA from 1 species
AGGAUAAACGCUGGCGGCGUGCCUAACACAUGCAAGUCGAACGCUCUUUUCCUUCGCAAGAGGGGGGAGGGAGUGGCGGACGGGUGAGGAACACAUGGGUGACCUACCUUUCAGUGAGGAAUACCGGCGAGAAAUCGCCGACAAUCCCGCAUAGCUUCGGGAACGAAGAAAGCAGCAAUGCGCCUGGGGAUGAGCCUGUGGCCGAUUAGCUAGCUGGUGGGGUAAUGGCUCACCAGGGCGACGAUCGGUAGCUGGUCUGAGAGGAUGAUCAGCCACACUGGGAUUGAGAACGGCCCAGACUCCUACGGGGGGCAGCAGUGAGGAAUCUUCCGCAAUGGGGGCAACCCUGACGGAGCAACGCCGCGUGCAGGAGGACGCUUUUCGGAGUGUAAACUGCUUUUCUCGAGGAAGAAAGCGGACGGUACUCGAGGAAGAAGCCCCGGCUAACUACGUGCCAGCAGCCGC